AUUGAACGCUGGCGGCAGGCCUAACACAUGCAAGUCGAGCGGAUGAAGGGAGCUUGCUCCUGGAUUCAGCGGCGGACGGGUGAGUAAUGCCUAGGAAUCUGCCUGGUAGUGGGGGAUAACGUCCGGAAACGGGCGCUAAUACCGCAUACGUCCUGAGGGAGAAAGUGGGGGAUCUUCGGACCUCACGCUAUCAGAUGAGCCUAGGUCGGAUUAGCUAGUUGGUGGGGUAAAGGCCUACCAAGGCGACGAUCCGUAACUGGUCUGAGAGGAUGAUCAGUCACACUGGAACUGAGACACGGUCCAGACUCCUACGGGAGGCAGCAGUGGGGACUAUUGGACAAUGGGCGAAAGCCUGCUCCAGCCAUGCCGCGUGUGUGAAGAAGGUCUUCGGAUUGUAAAGCACUUUAAGUUGGGAGGAAGGGCAGUAAGUUAAUACCUUGCUGUUUUGACGUUACCAACAGAAUAAGCACCGGCUAACUUCGUG
rnacentral:rRNA from 1 species